rnacentral:sRNA from 1 species
CAUUUGCCACUGUUGUUCCACAUAAAAGUAUCUGCAAAGAAAAGCCCAUGGAGACGACCUGGACACACGUAUUUCUAGGGAACAGAUGCUUAGUUGAGCAUCAAGGGGCGGGAAGACACCUUUCCCUCCUUGUUCCUCGCUGACCGAUGACCCUGGAACUCCACGGUGCCUCUCUGAAUCUCUGUUAUGGAUCCCCCACUAUAUUUGAUGGGAACCCAGUGAGCCAGGGGCCAGUUUUGACAGGGUAGCAUCACGCCCACAGACUACACCCUCUCCAAGUGCUACCUCCCGCGUGAGGAUGUGGUUUUGAUCAUCUACUGUGGAGUGGUGGGCUUCCUUGUGGUCCUCACACUCACUCACUUUGGGCUUCUAGCCUCACCUUUUCUUUCUGGUUUGAACUUGCUCGGAAAGCGUAAGACAAGAUGAAGAGCAGGCGCCAUUAUAAAUAUCAAAGCCCAAGAAAUGGAACUUUGGGCAGAGAUCAUGUUAGAAUCAAGUGGAUGAUGAGACCAAUUACAGGCCGUCUCUCUGCACAGCACAGAAAUUCUCAAUCACUGAAAUGAGUAACUAACUGCAAAAUAAAUAGUUGAUUGUACUGUUCUCAUGCUAUAAAAGUGGACAGGUACUCUACAACAAAUCUGUUUUCUCAUUUUUAUCAAAUAUAUGUAUCAUCAAAGGUUGCAUCUGUACAGUAUGUAAAUGCUAUUAA